rnacentral:rRNA from 1 species
GACGAACGCUGGCGGCGUGCUUAACACAUGCAAGUCGAACGGAAAGGCCCUGCUUUUGUGGUGUUCUCGAUUGGCGAACGGGUGAGUAACACGUGUGUAACCUCCCCUUGACUUUCGGAUAACUUCACGAAACUGCGGCUAAUACCGGAUAGGAUCUCCUGCUCCAUGGUGGGGGUUGGAAAGUUUCGGCGGUUGGGGAUGGACUGGCGGCUUAUCAGCUUGUUGGUGGGGUAGUGGCUGACCAAGGCUUUGACGGGUAGCCGGCCUGAGAGGGUGACCGGCGACAUGGGGACUGCGGUACGGACCAGACUGGUACGGGAGGCAGCAGUGGGGAAUAUUGCACAAUGGGCGGAAGUCUGAUGCAGAAACGCCGCGUGCGGGAUGACGGCCUUUGGGGUGUAAACCGCUUUCGCCUGUGACGAAGCGUGAGUGACGGUAAUGGGUAAAGAAGCACCGGCUAACUACGUG